GCCGGGCGUGGUGGCGGGCGCCUGUAAUCCCAGCUACUUGGGAGGCUGAGGCAGGAGAAUGGCUUGAACCCGGGAGGCUGAGGUUGUACUGAGCCGAGAUUGCAUCAUUGAGCUUUAGCCUGGGCGACAGAGCAAGACUCUGUCUCAA
rnacentral:SRP_RNA from 1 species